GAGGGUAGGGGUGAAAGGCUAAUCAAACUGAGAAAUAGCUCGUACUCCCCGAAAUGUUUUUAGGAACAGUGUGGAGGUUGAGUUUGUUAGAGGUAGAGCUACCAAUUGGACUAGGGGGAGUCACAUCCUACCAAAUCCAGAUGAACUCCGAAUGCUAACAAAUAUACUCUGCAAUGAGGGCGCGGGUGCUAAGGUCCGUGUCCGAGAGGGAAAGAACCCAGACCUACAGCUAAGGUCCCAAAAUCUAUACUAAGUUGAACUAAGGUGGUUCAGUUGCUGAGACAGCCAGGAGGUUAGCUUGGAAGCAGCUAUUCCUUUAAAGAGUGCGUAACAGCUCACUGGUCGAGCGACAGAGCAUCGAUAAUAAUCGGGCAUCAAGUAUAGUACCGAAGCUUAGGAUUGUAGCAAUACAGUGGUAGGGGAGCAUUCUAACAGCGGAGAAGUCGUGUGGUAAUGCACGGUGGAGCGGUUAGAAAAGCAAAUGUAGGCAUAAGUAACGAUAAGGCAGGUGAGAAACCUGCCCACCGAUAGACUAAGGGUUCCGCGGCAAUGUUAAUCAACCGCGGGUAAGUCGGGUCCUAAGACGAAGCCGAGAGGCAUAGCCGAUGGCCAACUGGUUAAUAUUCCAGUACUACCGUAAAGAGCGAUGUGGAGAAGGAGUAGUGAAAGUUCCGCGAUCUGACGAAAUAGAUCGUUAAAAGGCGUAGGUAUAGAGUUUGUUGGCAAAUCCGCAGACUUUGCUGAAACCCAAUAGUACCAGGAGGCUUCGGCCAAAUGGAUAGAGAACCUAAUCAGACUUCCGAGAAAAUCUGCUAAGCAUAUUUUUAUGGUACCCGUACCGCAAACCGACACAGGUAGUCAAGGAGAGAAUCCUGAGGUGCUCGAGUGAAUCAUGGCUAAGGAACUCGGCAAAAUAACCCUGUAACUUCGGGAGAAGGGGUGCCUCGCUGUAGCAAUACAGCAGGUCGCAGAGAAAUGGCCCAGGCGACUGUUUAACAAAAACACAUGGCUUU
rnacentral:rRNA from 1 species